GCAAUCUUUCAUGAGCUGGACAAUUGUCCCCUGUGUGAGGCAGUGAAGUCUGGCUAGCACCCUGCACAUAGGAAUAUCAAGGCCCCUUUUCCCUUUCUUGCUUUGCCUCCUCAACCACACUCUCCCCUUUGUAGCAUCUGUGUCACUAAGGAAACCAUGGUAACAUCAGUGCCUCUGCUGAGCAUGGUGACCACUCAAAAGAGGGAGAGUGAGUUCAGCCUAUCAUUUGAGAUCCGAGCUGUUGAAUUCAUCUGUCUGUGGAAUAAUUAUACCAACCACAUGGUUAGACAGAAGGAAUACAAUAUAUUGCUUAAUUUGUAUCUACAAAGCUAAGCAACAUGGAAAAAAAAAAAAACAAGCCUGCUCAGUCACUUCCAUGAGGAUAAAUGAAGACACUUCAAGGAGGCCAUUGACAUGGAUCUGCCAGCUUUCUAAGCCUUUCCCAGAUUUAAGCCCAGUCACAUCAAGUUGCCGUAUUAAAGGGUCUGCCCACUCAAAAGGAGAAAGUGCAAAAGAUGCUCAGCAAGGGUACCAAACGCAGUCAGAUGAUGCUCCCUGACAGCAUCCGAGAGCAAGCCUCACCACCACCUCUGUUAAUAAAAAAGAAAACGAGGAGUCGCCAAUUUGUCUAUUUAAAGAUGCCAAUAAAAUCCUGCACAGAACUUUAGUCAACAAGACUAUUUCAGAAGGGGUGGCCAGCAGCGUGGCCUUUCACUGGCAAGGGCCACCUUUGUCAUCACUUAAGAAAUAAAACCUGCCAAGUUUUCUGUGAGGCUCUCAAUAAAUCUUACUGAG
rnacentral:lncRNA from 1 species